AUUUAUGUAGUUUACAUAAAACAUUACAUUUUCACUGUAAAAAUAAAAUAAUAUUUUCAUAAAUA
rnacentral:tRNA from 1 species